rnacentral:rRNA from 1 species
AGAUUGAACAUAAGAGUUUGAUCCUGGCUCAGAUUGAACGCUGGCGGCAUGCUUUACACAUGCAAGUCGGACGGCAGCACAGAGAAGCUUGCUUCUCGGGUGGCGAGUGGCGAACGGGUGAGUAACAUAUCGGAACGUACCGAGUAGUGGGGGAUAACUGAUCGAAAGAUCAGCUAAUACCGCAUACGUCUUGAGAGAGAAAGCAGGGGACCUUUGGGCCUUGCGCUAUUCGAGCGGCCGAUAUCUGAUUAGCUGGUUGGUGGGGUAAAGGCCUACCAAGGCGACGAUCAGUAGCGGGUCUGAGAGGAUGAUCCGCCACACUGGGACUGAGACACGGCCCAGACUCCUACGGGAGGCAGCAGUGGGGAAUUUUGGACAAUGGGCGCAAGCCUGAUCCAGCCAUGCCGCGUGUCUGAAGAAGGCCUUCGGGUUGUAAAGGACUUUUGUCAGGGAAGAAAAGGCUGUUGCUAAUAUCAGCGGCUGAUGACGGUACCUGAAGAAUAAGCACCGGCUAACUACGUGCCAGCAGCCGCGGUAAUACGUAGGGUGCGAGCGUUAAUCGGAAUUACUGGGCGUAAAGCGGGCGCAGACGGUUACUUAAGCAGGAUGUGAAAUCCCCGGGCUCAACCCGGGAACUGCGUUCUGAACUGGGUGACUCGAGUGUGUCAGAGGGAGGUAGAAUUCCACGUGUAGCAGUGAAAUGCGUAGAGAUGUGGAGGAAUACCGAUGGCGAAGG